rnacentral:rRNA from 2 species
AGUGGGGAAUAUUGGACAAUGGGCCACAAGCCUGAUCCAGCAAUUCUGUGUGCACGAUGAAGGUCUUCGGAUUGUAAAGUGCUUUCAGUUGGGAAGAAGAAAGUGACGGUACCAACAGAAGAAGCGACGGCUAAAUACGUGCCAGCAGCCGCGGUAAUACGUAUGUCGCAAGCGUUAUCCGGAUUUAUUGGGCGUAAAGCGCGUCUAGGCGGAAAAAUAAGUCUGAUGUUAAAAUGCGGGGCUCAACUCCGUAUUGCGUUGGAAACUGUUUUUCUAGAGUACUGGAGAGGUGGGCGGAACUACAAGUGUAGAGGUGAAAUUCGUAGAUAUUUGUAGGAAUGCCGAUGGAGAAGUCAGCUCACUGGACAGAUACUGACGCUGAAGCGCGAAAGCGUGGGGAGCAAA